rnacentral:rRNA from 1 species
AAUAAUAAAUUUAAGUUUGAUUUAGUUAUUAUCAUUAAAUAUUGAUUUAAUAUGUGCCAGCAAUCGCGGUUAGACAUAAAAUACAAAUAAAUAAUUUCAGAGUUUAGUUAUUAUAUUAUACAAUAAUUAUAUUUUAUUAAUUUUUAGGUGAAAUUUAAAUUUUUAUUUAUAAUUUAUAAUUUUAUAAGAAACUAUAAAACCUUAUAAUUUAAACUAGGAUUAGAUACCCUAUUAUUCAAGACUUAAAUUAAUUAAACUUAAGUAGUAUUAGUUAUGAUCUUAAAACUUAAAGAAUUUGGCGGUAUUUUAGUCUAUUUAGAGGAAUCUGCUCCAUAAUCGAUAAUACACGUUUAACUUAACUUAGAUUAAUUGAACAUGUAUACCGCCGUUUAUUGAAAAUCUUUUUAGGGUUAAUUUUCUCAAGAUAUAAAAAUAUAACAUUUCAGGUCAAGGUGCAGUCUAUAUCUAAGGGGAGGUGGAUUACAAUAUUUUUAAAUAAAUGAAUUUUAUUUUGAAAAAUUAAAUGAAAGUGGAUUUAAUAGUAAUUAUUUAAAUUUUAUCAUUAUGAUUUUAGCUCUAAAAUGUGUACAUAUCGCCCGUCACUCUCGUUAGUUAAAAUGAGAUAAGUCGUAACAAAGUAGGUGUACCGGAAGGUGCAGCUAGAUUGAUCAGAUUAAGUUUAAAGGGAAGUAUUUCAUUUACAUUGAAAUAAAUAUUGUGCAAU